rfam:Chlamydomonas reinhardtii strain CC-503 cw92 mt+ CHLREscaffold_68 genomic scaffold, whole genome shotgun sequence.
GUCGUCAUCGUAUAGUGGUUAGUAUCCCCGCCUGUCAAGCUGUCUGCCCGCGGGAGGCCGGGGUUCGAUUCCCCGUGACGGCG